rnacentral:rRNA from 1 species
UACGUAGGGGGCUAGCGUUGUUCGGAAUUACUGGGCGUAAAGCGCACGUAGGCGGCUUUGUAAGUUAGAGGUGAAAGCCCGGGGCUCAACCCCGGAAUUGCCUUUAAGACUGCAUCGCUAGAAUUGUGGAGAGGUAAGUGGAAUUCCGAGUGUAGAGGUGAAAUUCGUAGAUAUUCGGAAGAACACCAGUGGCGAAGGCGACUUACUGGUCCGGUACUGACGCUGAGGUGCGAAAGCGUGGGGAGCAAACAGG